GUGCCAGCCGCCGCGGUAAUACGUAGGUGGCAAGCGUUGUCCGGAAUUAUUGGGCGUAAAGCGCGCGCAGGUGGUUUCUUAAGUCUGAUGUGAAAGCCCACGGCUUAACCGUGGAGGGUCAUUGGAAACUGGGAGACUUGAGUGCAGAAGAGGAAAGUGGAAUUCCAAGUGUAGCGGUGAAAUGCGUAGAGAGUGGUAGGAACACCAGGGGCGAAGGCGACUUUCUGGUAUGCAACUGACGAUGAGGCGGGAAAGCAUG
rnacentral:rRNA from 1 species